ACGUACUUCCGCUUCCAGUUUACAGAGCAUGCGGCCUGGUUAAGGGUGGCUCGGGUAGUCGGGUAACGGGCGUUAGUGACAGGGAACAACUGACAUCGUUACAUCUUCAUUCCGCACCUGACCCUCUGCAAGGAAUGACAGCCCUGGUUUAAAAGUACGAUUGCGCAGAUCGGAAGUGAACGGGCGAGAAGGAGCGAGAUGCAGAAGGGCCGUGGGAUCGGGGGUUCUAGAGGAAAUGGACCGUGGAAGCAGAGUUGAUUAAUUGGUCUGGAAGCAGUGGUGCUAUUGUGGCAUCUGCAGAAGGAAAGUAGCACACUGUUCUGAUUCUUAAUGAAAAUGGAAGAAGUGUCAUUACCUGGCCUGGAGAACAGCAAAUCUGAGGAUUUGAAUAAGACUGAUUUCAUAUCUGACACAGUAAGGGGAGUUGGAUAGAGAAAUGUGGCUGAACCUAUGGGGAACUGAUUCUCAUCAGUGUCACUUUUACAGGAUCCAAAGGCAACUAUAAGUAUGGUAUUAAUGGUGUUUGUUAUUUUAAACACUGAACUAACCAACUACAACAUUAAUUUUGAUCUUUGAAUGACAUUGGAUAUUUUUACGCUAAUCUUAUUGUUUAUUUCCUAUUCCUUCUUUAUGUGGGAGUCCUUAUAUUUGGCAGAGUCUUUACAUGUUACAUUUCACCUCUGGCAAGUGUUAACAAAUAAAGGCUUGGAGUGAUCUUAAAAGACACCAAUGAAAUGGAAUGGAAUUCGCUGUUGUUACUUCUAAGUUUGAUAUUCUGAGAAGUGGUCAGUAAUGGUUGUUUGGAUCUUUUACUCAACAUAUAAUGAGCCCUGAUACGAAAUAGGCAUCUAAACUUUUAAACAUAGCAUGAAGUCUCAAAAGGAUCUUCAAGUUACUGCAAGAAAUUUGGAUUGUGUUGAUUCCAUUUUCUGAAAUUAAUAGACACUAAACUCUGACCUGGUGAAACAUCUUUGUUUAGUAUCAGACAUCUGAUGAUCUGCUGUAAUAUUCUCCUGUAGAGGUCUGUAGCUCUGUUAUGAUGGAAUGUACAGAUUCUUAAUCUCCAUGAUCUAAAUAUUAAUCUUCAGUGAUGAAUACAUUCAAAGUGAACUUGCCAAUCUGACAAUUGCUUCACAUACUGUCAAUGGGACAGAAAUUUCAGUUUAUGUUUUAGAGCUUUCUGUGAUAAGAGGAAAGAAAUUUCUAAAAAAUCUUGAAAAUUUGCUUUGGACAAGUGAAGAUGCUCAUCUAGAAUACGUCAGAUCUGGAAAAUGAAAGAUAUGGUCUGGAAUAAGUGUUGAGUACACUGAUGAGUCCAUCCUUUUAGUCAGUGUAUCUAUAUUGUGAGUCAAGCAAUGAGUGUAUAGCAGUCUCUGGGAAUGUAAUCCGCCUUGCUGUGAUUAAACUUAAGAAUAAUUUUGCUCAGAUGAUGAUCUAGACUUGUCUAAAUUUCUGUGCUUUUGAUAGAACAGAUGAAGGUCAAAGUUGUUUCAAAAGUAAACUGUUUAAUGUGAACUCUACAGCCAUGCCCAAACUGAAAUGAGUUUCUUUGGAGAAGAGCCAGAAAUACUGGAAGCAACUGAAAUAUGAAUGUGACCAGCAGCAGAACAAAGGGCACAGUGACCAGGCCAUGGAGUUUGAUGCUGUUCUUGAAACAUUUGCAGAACAGAGCAGUACCCCCUCCCCAGAUCCCUCUUGCCACAGUUCAUGAGAUCUAUUCCGAUCUCAUAGAUGAUGCUUGUCUGGGAUUCUGUUUUGAAGUACAUCGAGCUGUGAAGUGUGGUUAUUUCUUUUUGGAUGAGACAGAUCCAGAUAGUAUGAAGGAUUUUGAAAUUGUGGACCAGCCAGGUUUGGACGUCUUUGGCCAAGUCUAUAACCAGUGGAAGAAUAAAGAAUGUGAAUGCCCAAACUGCAGUCGUAGUAUCGCUGCCUCCCGUUUUGCUCCUCAUCUGGAAAAGUGUUUGGGAAUGGGUCGCAACAGCAGCCGGAUUGCAAACAGAAGAAUAGCCAGCAGUAACAAUCUUGGUAAAUCUGAAAGUGAUCAGGAAGACAAUGAUGACAUCAAUGAUAAUGACUGGUCAUAUCGAUCCGAGAAAAAAGCAAAGAAGAGAAAAUCUGACAAGAAUCCUAAUUCGCCACGGAGAUCCAAAUCUCUAAAACAUAAAAAUGGAGAGUUCAGUGGAAACUGUGAUCCAAUUAAGUACAACAGUUCUGGCAUCAACUAUGAAAACCUGGGUCCCGAAGAAUUGCACUCACUGCUGACAACGCAAUGUGGUGCCAUCUCAGAGCACACCAAAAAAAUGUGUACAAGAUCACUGCGAUGCCCUCAGCACACAGAUGAGCAGCGACGAGCUGUGCGGGUCUACCUCCUGGGAUCUUCAGUGAUCUCCUCUCUCUUCCUACCAACGUUAUUGGUCCCUACAUGGACCACGACAUCUGGCUGCUCACUCUCCCUCUUGAGAAUACUGAGAACUCAAUCCGAGAUAUUGCGGACCUUGGCACCAGGGAGGCAACAGACCAUCUGGGAUUCUUGAUCUCUUCCACAGAACCUCAUCUGCCCCCCAACUAUGGAAUCUCCUAUCACUACCGCUCUCCUCUUUUCCCUCCUUCCCUUCUGAGCUGAGGGUCCAGUCUCGGUGCCAGAGAUGCAACCACUGCAACUUGUCCCUGGUAGGUCGUCCCCACCAACAGUAUCCAAAACGGUAUACUUAUUGUUGGUGGGAACAGCCACAGGGGUGCUCUGCUCAUUCUGUCUAUUCCCCUUCCCUCUCCCAACGGUCACCCACCUACCUGUCUCCUGACUCCGGGUGACUAUCUCCCUGAAACUCCUGUUUAUUUCCGCCUCUGCCUCCCGAAUGAUCGGAAGUUCAUCCAGCUCCAACUCCAGUUCCCUAACACGGUUUGUCAGGAGCUGCAGCUGGAUGUACCUUUUGCAGGUGUAGUCAUCAGGGACAACAGUGCUUGCCCUGACUUCCCACAUACAGAGCACUCAACUGCUCUAACUGCUGCCUCCAUUACCUACUUCUAAGGUAUAAUUAAAUUAAUUAAAGGAGCUUACCCAGCUUUACCUCACUUGGAGUGAAGCUCGUCUUCAGCCUCUGCUUGCCGAAGCCUCGUGAGCCAAAGCCUACCUACUCUGUCUCCCUCUACUCCGUCGCCUGCCCCUACGAUGCCAGUUCCGUUAAUCUGUUCACUUUUUAAACUCUGCCACUAUUCUCACAGGCCGACCUUCACGCGCUUACACAAUUGUGCUCCAUGCAAAUUGCUGAAGAAAUGACCUUGUUUGCAUUUUUUAUUUCCUUUGAAGUGAAUGCCAACGUUGCAUUUGCCAUUCCUUUCCACAGACUUAAUUUGUAAAUUUAACUUUCUGGGUUAAUUUACAUGAGAACUCCUAACUCCCUUUGCACCCUCUGAUGUUUGAAUUUCCUCCCCAUUUAGACAAUGGUCACCAACCAGUCGAUCUUUGAGACUCUCCCAGUAAAUCCAGAAAAAAAAAUGAGAAGUAAAUACACAAAUACAUUAUGCCUGAUAAACCUUUUGAUGUAGUAACUUCUACUUUGUAAAAGGACCACUCGACAACUUCAUGCCCAAAAUGAACAACUUUAUCUAGGACGGUUAAACGAUAUUUACAUACAGAGGUUUUCACUAAUGCACACCGGACAGAAAAAAUCGGAAGGAAAACCCCGCAACCUGGAAACAAUCUCUCUUUACAAACAGCUUUCCAUAGCGGGAGUAUUGCUAUAUUACCAUGAUCCUAAUUGGUAUUAAUUUAUAUUCAUAACACUCACAUUACAACAUUUCUCCCCCUUUAAAUUCCAACAUUCCCCAAAUGUACAAGAAAAGGGAAUCAAAAACAAUGGUGUCAUUAGCUGAAUACCACUGAAAUUUACCCUAGUGUCUCAGUAACUGUUCCCCAAUACCAGGAAAGUUGAGGAUCUGAAAUCGGUGUUGAACGCCAAGCAAACAUGCUGCUCAGAGGACGUGGAUCGACAAGUGUUAAAGGACGUCACUCUGUGAAUAUUUUUAACUACAGUUUGAUGAAUCCCUGGAUGUAAUGCAAACAGCUGAGCUUGUUGUACUUGUCAGAAUGGCUUUCCAGGAUUUUACAUCAGAGGAGGACUUCCUCACUCUUUCGCACUUAAAGGAGAGAGCGAGAGAUCCCUUCCAGAAUCUGAAAUAACUGUCGAAAAUGAGAAUCAUGAUGCCUCAGAGAUCCAGAGCUUUCUGAGCCGAAUGCAGUGGGAUGUAACAUCAGAUAAUUCACCUUCUGAUUCAGCAUCUUCCAAAACAGGUG